GUAGGCUGCCUAGGUGGAAGAAAGAUGGAAUUAUUGGUCUCCUGAGCACCUUGGAGGACUCUUCACUUGAGGAUUAUUCUGAAACAACGAAAACCUCUUAUGAAUAAAAUCUGUCGAAGAGAAUAUCAACAUUAAUUCAAUGAGAACACACUGGUUAUGAUAUUCCAGACUCAAAUAAAUGCAGAACGCUGGAUUUGACUAUGGACCUCAGAAGUGAGAAGGUAAGACGGUGGCUGACUGAUGAAUACAAAAUAAUUAUCAGACAAAAGGCAUUGAAGCUUAGAGGAAGACAAGGCAACCUACUUUGGUUUCUUUGUUCAGUACCUGGAGAAUCAAAGGAAAACAGACACUUGCUGAAAGGGAGUAGAAAUGCACUGGAACAGAAACUAUUGUUCUUCUUGAUGCUGUGGAAAUAAUGAGAGAGCAAAGGCCACUGGUGACACUACAUCUGAAGUACUGUACAGCACUGGGCUCCCUAAUUAAGGAAGGAUGAAACUGGAGGCACUUCAGAAAAGGUUUACUUGGAUAAUACCUGGAACAAGCAGAUUGUGUUAUGAGGAAAGACAAAACAGACAUCCAAAGCACCUGAGCAACAUUUCACAAUAAAAUGAAGAAUCACAUUCUGAGUCAUCCAUAACUGCAUUUGCUUUGCAAAUUUUGAGCCACUUGAGGCUGACUUUGGAAGAAAUGCAAGGAAAGGAAUGGAUUUCCAUCAUCAAACAGUAAGGUAUGAGCAACACGCAGGAAGUGCCUACUGACUUCCAAUUGCAGGGCAUUUAUUAAUAAAUGAGCCACUUGGGUAAAGUCAUGGCAAUAAAUGUACAUCUGGGCAAAACUGGAAGAAGAUUGGUAACAGAACAAAAUAUUCUCCCUUUGAAAUUUCCUGUGAGAGUGACUGAAAAUGAAAGAGGAUUAUCUCACAAAUUUUCAUUGGAAAAUUGAUUUAAAAAUUGCAGGUCAGAAGUCACAUGUCUGAACUACAUUAUAUGGUGUCACUGCACGUUCAAGAAGAACAAACCAAUCAGCCACUUGCAAAGUCCGAUCGUACACUGAGAGCAAUACUCUGUGAUUUGAACUGAGGACGCUGCCAAUGAUGCCUAUGCUGGCUGUCGAAGCUUAGAAGAGAAAAACAGACACAGUGCGAGCACAUUGUGUGCACCCAGCAUGUGGGUAACUUUAAAAAAAUAUAAAUAUAACCAAAAAAAUAAAUAAUGGGCUUGACCUGGGUUUGCUUUGUUUUGUUUGGACAGUUUUCUCAGCACUGCUUUUAUUUUCCAUUUCCCUUGAUCUUCAAAAAACACUUUAAAAACAAAAACAAAGCUCUAAUCAAAUGUCAUUUGCCAAUUUAUGCAGAACUGACCCAUUGCGGAAUGCACACCUUCAACCACAAGUGCUUGGAGAAAUGUACACAGGAGGCAUCACUUUACAUGUGCAUUCUGGGGUGACUCUUAAACUGAAUUCCUGGAUACAAGGAUAAUUCAUCAGCAAGCAGUGAUAUAGACAGAAUACAGAUACACUGUUGCCAGUAGUCAGUUGGCAUGUGCAACUGGAAACAAUGCCUUAUGAAUAAUGAUAAACCAUGAACUAUCUCCGAGUUUUGAGUGCAUUUGCUGGUAUUUCCAGUUAUCAUUUGUUUUUAGUGGAGUGACAGUUGUGGAAGUUAC